rnacentral:rRNA from 1 species
UACGUAGGGGGCAAGCGUUGUCCGGAUUUAUUGGGCGUAAAGAGCGUGUAGGCGGCUUUACAGGUCCGUUGUGAAAACUCGAGGCUCAACCUCGAGACGCCGGUGGAAACCGUAAAGCUAGAGUCCGGAAGAGGAGAGUGGAAUUCCUGGUGUAGCGGUGAAAUGCGCAGAUAAUCAGGAGGAACACCGAUGGCGAAGGCAGAUCUCUGGGCCGUAACUGGCGC